rnacentral:rRNA from 1 species
GUUGACCUCGGAUCAGGUAGGGAUACCCGCUGAACUUAAGCAUAUCAAUAAGCGGAGGAAAAGAAACCAACAGGGAUUGCCCUAGUAACGGCGAGUGAAGCGGCAAUAGCUCAAAUUUGAAAGCUGGCCUUUGGUCCGCAUUGUAAUUUGUAGAGGAUGCUUUUAGGCAGCCGCCGGUCUAAGUUCCUUGGAACAGGACGUCAUAGAGGGUGAGAAUCCCGUAUGUGACCGGCUCUGGCACCUUAUGUAAAGCUCCUUCGACGAGUCGAGUUGUUUGGGAAUGCAGCUCUAAAUGGGAGGUAAAUUUCUUCUAAAGCUAAAUACCGGCGAGAGACCGAUAGCGCACAAGUAGAGUGAUCGAAAGAUGAAAAGCACUUUGGAAAGAGAGUUAAAAAGCACGUGAAAUUGUUGAAAGGGAAGCGCUUGCAAUCAGACUUGGACUUGGCUGUUCAACCGGUCUUCUGACCGGCCCACUCAGUCUUGUCCAGGCCAGCAUCAGUUUCGGCGGCCGGAUAAAGGCCCUGGGAAUGUGGCCGCCUCUUCGGAGGCGGUGUUAUAGCCCAGGGUGUAAUACGGCCAGCUGGGACUGAGGUCCGCGCUUCGGCUAGGAUGCUGGCGUAAUGGUUGUAAGCGGCCCGUCUUGAAACACGGACCAAGGAGUCUAACAUCUAUGCGAGUGUUAGGGUGUCAAACCCUUACGCGUAAUGAAAGUGAACGGAGGUGGGAACCCGCGAGGGUGCACCAUCGACCGAUCCUGAUGUCUUCGGAUGGAUUUGAGUAAGAGCAUAGCUGUUGGGACCCGAAAGAUGGUGAACUAUGCCUGAAUAGGGUGAAGCCAGAGGAAACUCUGGUGGAGGCUCGCAGCGGUUCUGACGUGCAAAUCGAUCGUCAAAUUUGGGUAUAGGGGCGAAAGACUAAUCGAACCAUCUAGUAGCUGGUUCCUGCCGAA